rnacentral:rRNA from 1 species
AGAACGAACGCUGGCGGCAUGCCUAACACAUGCAAGUCGAACGAGACCUUCGGGUCUAGUGGCGCACGGGUGCGUAACGCGUGGGAAUCUGCCCUUGGGUUCGGGAUAACAGUUGGAAACGACUGCUAAUACCGGAUGAUGACUUCGGUCCAAAGAUUUAUCGCCCAAGGAUGAGCCCGCGUAGGAUUAGCUUGUUGGUGAGGUAAGAGCCCACCAAGGCGACGAUCCUUAGCUGGUCUGAGAGGAUGAUCAGGACCCA